rnacentral:rRNA from 1 species
GACGAACGCUGGCGGCGUGCUUAACACAUGCAAGUCGAACGGAAAGGCCCUGCUUUUGUGGGGUGCUCGAGUGGCGAACGGGUGAGUAACACGUGAGUAACCUGCCCUUGACUUUGGGAUAACUUCAGGAAACUGGGUCUAAUACCGGAUAGGAGCUCCUGCUGCAGGGUGGGGUUGGGAAAGUUUCGGCGGUUGGGGAUGGACUCGCGGCUUAUCAGCUUGUUGGUGGGGUAGUGGCUUACCAAGGCUUUGACGGGUAGCCGGCCUGAGAGGGUGACCGGCCACAUUGGGACUGAGAUACGGCCCAGACUCCUACGGGAGGCAGCAGUGGGGAAUAUUGCACAAUGGGCGGAAGCCUGAUGCAGCAACGCCGCGUGCGGGAUGACGGCCUUCGGGUUGUAAACCGCUUUCGCCUGUGACGAAGCGUGAGUGACGGUAAUGGGUAAAGAAGCACCGGCUAACUACGUG